rnacentral:piRNA from 1 species
UUUCACGUUUCAACGUUUUAG